CCGAGACAAGGGACAAUUGAAAUUGACAAUGUUGAUCUCAGCAAAAUUGGGUUGCAUGAUUUACGAGGAAGACUUAGCAUCAUCCCACAGGAUCCAACCAUGUUUGAGGGCACAGUGAGAGGAAAUCUUGAUCCACUAAAUGAGUAUUCUGAUCAACAUAUAUGGGAGGUAAAUAAGUCAAUUAUACAUGUUCUAUGAUAAGAGAGUAAAUUAUAUAACAUUUGCAGCAAAAAGGAGCCUAACACCUCAUAUCAUUGUUCUUUAUUUAUAGCCAAUAGUCCAUAUUGCAAAACGGAUAGUUCUGGAUAAUGGCAUAUUUUUCAACAAAAAUAUAGAUUACAGUUUAUGCUGAUAAAAUAUGAUAUCUUGGUUAUGCUAAUCUAUGAAUGGUCAAAAUUGGUGACAAGAGUACCUUAGGAAACAUAUUUGGAUGCUCACUUUUAUAAUUGCAAUUACCAAAGCUAACGUAAAGUUUCAUACAGACUGCAACCUGAUCAAACCCAUUCUUCAAACAUAUCUAUACAAUGAACAAAAAUAAAAGGAGAAAUUGCGAAAAAAAUGUGAUGAUUAAAAGAAUGGAACGAUGUACUUCCUAUACUGACCAGAAGUAUACAUUUCUUUUGGCUAGACAUUGGACAAAUGCCAGCUUGGUGACAUAGUUCGACAAAGCCCAAAGAAGCUGGACUCAACAGGUUUGUUUUUGUGUACAAUAUCACACAGAUGAUAGAUUGGCUAAGAGAGUAUGUAUAUCUCCAUUGAGAUGAUCAAAUGAGAUUUCUCCUGCAGUUGUGGAAAAUGGGGAAAACUGGAGUGUCGGACAGAGGCAGUUGUUUUGCCUGGGUAGGGUUCUACUGAAGCGAAGCAAUGUCCUUGUCCUCGACGAGGCAACUGCGUCAGUUGACUCAUCUACGGAUGCAAUUAUCCAGCAAACACUCCGUGAGGAGUUUGGGGACUGCACGGUGCUGACUGUAGCACACAGAAUUCACACAGUUAUCGACAGUGAUCUGAUUCUCGUCUUCAGCGAAGGUCUGUACGCAAAAUAUUUAUCUACAUUUUAGGACCUAGCUGCCGCAGCGCUAAGAUGUGUACUCGUUUGUGCUGAGCAGGAAGAAUUAUAGAAUACGACACGCCAUCGAGAUUACUGGAGGACGAGAACUCUGAAUUCUCCAGGCUCAUCAAGGAGUACUCACGGCGAUCCAAGGGCUUUUAACAGCGCCACAUACAAUUGAACGGCGGCGAAGCCAACUAGGCGCACAGCAGAACACGGCGGAAAGACCGCGCACACCACACUGUCUUUCUCCAGACGACAAGCACUGACGAAACCCACCCAGGCAAAGACGAUAUAUAGGAUGUAGAAUGGAUGGGAGUGGCCAGAUUGUUGAGGCGAUUUGGAAAAAUUAUUAAAGCCGUGUAAUGUAGUAACACAGUACAGUAGCACUAUGUAAAAUGCUCUCUGAUAUGAGAAAGAUCGAGUAUAUGUAGCUACUCCGUGUGCCAAUCGUUUUUCAGUUCAAGAAGUUCCUGAAUGGGGUUCGCAACGGGGUGCUUACCUGCGGCUUUGUCGAGUCAGGCAUUCCGUCGAGCAGGUGGCGCGCGGAGCGCCGCAACAAGGAGCCGG
rnacentral:lncRNA from 1 species